rnacentral:rRNA from 1 species
UACAGAGGUCCCAAGCGUUGUUCGGAUUCACUGGGCGUAAAGAGCGUGUAGGCGGUUUGGUAGGUCCGUUGUGAAAGCUCGAGGCUCAACCUCGAGACGCCGAUGGAAACCAUCAGACUAGAGUCCGGAAGAGGUGAGUGGAAUUUCCGGUGUAGCGGUGAAAUGCGUAGAUAUCGGAAGGAACACCUGUGGCGAAAGCGGCUCACUGGACCAUUACUGACGCUGAUGCACGAAAGCUAGGGGAGCAAACAGG